rnacentral:rRNA from 1 species
UACAGAGGGUGCGAGCGUUGUCCGGAAUCACUGGGCGUAAAGAGCUCGUAGGCGGUUUGUCGCGUCUGCUGUGAAAACUGGAGGCUCAACCUCCAGCCUGCAGUGGGUACGGGCAGACUAGAGUGCGGUAGGGGAGAUUGGAAUUCCUGGUGUAGCGGUGGAAUGCGCAGAUAUCAGGAGGAACACCAAUGGCGAAGGCAGAUCUCUGGGCCGUAACUGACGCUGAGGAGCGAAAGCAUGGGGAGCGAACAGG